rnacentral:rRNA from 1 species
AUUGAACGCUGGCGGCAUGCUUUACACAUGCAAGUCGGACGGCAGCACAGAGAAGCUUGCUUCUUGGGUGGCGAGUGGCGAACGGGUGAGUAAUAUAUCGGAACGUACCGAGUAAUGGGGGAUAACUAAUCGAAAGAUUAGCUAAUACCGCAUAUUCUCUGAGGAGGAAAGCAGGGGACCUUCGGGCCUUGCGUUAUUCGAGCGGCCGAUAUCUGAUUAGCUAGUUGGUGGGGUAAAGGCCUACCAAGGCGACGAUCAGUAGCGGGUCUGAAAGGAUGAUCAGCCACACUGGGACUGAGACACGGCCCAGACUCCUACGGGAGGCAGCAGUGGGGAAUUUUGGACAAUGGGCGCAAGCCUGAUCCAGCAAUGCCGCGUGUCUGAAGAAGGCCUUCGGGUUGUAAAGGACUUUUGUCAGGGAAGAAAAGGCUGUUGCUAAUACCGACAGCUGAUGACGGUACCUGAAGAAUAAGCACCGGCUAACUACGUG